rnacentral:rRNA from 1 species
GACGAACGCUGGCGGCGUGCUUAACACAUGCAAGUCGAACGGAAAGGCCUGCUUUCCCUUGUGGAUUGCGGGUACUCGAGUGGCGAACGGGUGAGUAACACGUGAGUGAUCUGCCCCCAACUUGGGUAUAAGCCUGGGAAACGGGUCCAAUUCCCCGUAGGAAUGGCGGGUUGUGCCCGUGGGGGGAAACGGUUUUUCAAUGGGUGGGGGUGAGCUCGCGGCCUUACAGCUUGUUGGUGGGGUAAUGGCCUACCAAGGCGGCGACGGGUAGCCGGCCUGAGAGGGUGGACGGCCACAUUGGGACUGAGAUACGGCCCAGACUCCUACGGGAGGCAGCAGUGGGGAAUAUUGCACAAUGGGCGGAAGCCUGAUGCAGCGACGCCGCGUGGGGGAUGACGGCCUUCGGGUUGUAAACUCCUUUCGACCGCGAGGAAGCCACCUGGUUGGAAGGGUGGUGACGGUAGUGGUAGAAGAAGCACCGGCUAACUACGUG